GACUAACGCUGGCGGCGUGCCUAACACAUGCAAGUCGAACGAUUCUUUGAUUUAUAGCAAUAUUUAUUAAAGAGGAGUGGCGAACGGGUGAGUAACACGUAGAUAAUCUGCCUUUCAGACGGGGACAACUCAGGGAAACUUGUGCUAAUACCCGAUGAGACCACAAGAAGGGAUUUUUGUGGCCAAAGGCGGGCAGCAAUGCUCGUGCUGAAAGAUGAGUCUGCGUCCUAUCAGCUAGUUGGUGGGGUAAAUGCCUACCAAGGCUAAGACGGGUAGCCGGCCUGAGAGGGUGAACGGCCACACUGGGACUGAGACACGGCCCAGACUCCUACGGGAGGCAGCAGUAGGGAAUUUUGGACAAUGGGCGCAAGCCUGAUCCAGCCAUGCCGCGUGCAGGAUGAAGGCCUUGGGUUGUAAACUGCUUUUGUACGGUAACGAAAAAGACUACUCUCUAAUACAGGGGUGAAUGACGGUACCGUAAGAAUAAGACACCGGCUAACUACGUACG
rnacentral:rRNA from 1 species